CUGACUUCAUAAUUUCCCUGUUUUUAUCUUCACUUUCUUCUUAUUUCUUAUCCAUAACAUUCUUUCUUCUUCACUGCUUUUAAUUUGUUUCGAUGUCACAAAUUUUGAAGCAUCCAGUCAACGUAAUUUUCUUUCAUUUGCUUAAUUCAUCACAUGCUUUUCUUUGCUUUGAUUAUCUGCAACUGUAAUAGCAGCUAGCUUUGUAAGAUUGUCAAGGAACUCAACUUCACUGCUUCCUUUUCAGUUCUAAUCUCUCAGCACUUUUCAGCCACUAAGUCAGGUAAUAAGAUCUGAAGCAAUUAUUCAUUGCCACCUUCAAUGAUUUUGUUUGAUGUCCAAGGUCUAUCACAAAAUUUCAAUCAUCCUGUCAAGCUAAUUUUCUUUCAUUUCCUUAAUCAGGUAAUAAGAUCUGAAGCAAUUAUUCAUCACAUGCUUUUCUUUGCUUCAUUCAUGACUUUGCAAUGAUUGUUGCUGAUUAUCUGCUACUCUUAGCAGCUAGCUCUGUCAGACAGUCAACUUCACUGCUUCAUUUUCAGUUCUAUUCUCUCAACACUUUUCAGCCAGGGACAUGGCAAUGGAGUACGUAGAGCCUGUUGUCGGUAUUGCAUAUUGUCUCGGAACUCCUGUUUGUAAAUAUUUGCAAUAUCACAGAAAGCUGAACGAUUAUGUGAGAAACUUCAAGAGGAUCAGAGAUGAAUUGAAUUGCAAAAUGGAAGAUAUAGAGCUGCAAUUGAAAGCAGAGCUUCUUCGUCCUCUGGGGAAGAUACCGAAGAAGGGAGUUGAAAAUUGGUUGAAAGCUGUGAAAAAGAUGAUUAGGGAAGCACAAGUUGUUGAAAACAAAGUCAGUAACGGGAGAUAUCUCUGUCGUACUUGCAACGGGAAGCUGGUUGAUGAAAAGACUCGAGAAAUGAAGGAAUUUCUUAAUAACGCUCCUAAUGCCUCUGAAGGUCUUGCCAUGGAUGGUCCAAGUGCAGGGUUGCCGCUGCCAACAUCAGAGCUAGUUGGAGAAGAACCUGUCAGAAAUGAGAUUUGGGCAUGUUUGAUGCAGGAGGAGGUGAGAAAGAUUGGGGUUUGGGGGAUGGGCGGUGUGGGUAAAACCACUAUCAUGAAGCACAUCCACAAUGGUCUUUUGAAACAACAAAGAUUCGAAAGGGUAAUCUGGGUUACCAUAUCAAAGGAGUUCAAUGUAAUGAAGGUACAAGAUGAUAUUGCGGAGGCUUUGAAUUUGAAGGAAGAUUGGCCCAGAGAAGGAGACAAGCUCAGACGAGCAGCAAUCUUGUCAGAAAUGCUGAAGAAGGCAGGAAAGCAUGUUCUAAUCCUAGAUGAUGUGUGGGAUAAAGUCUCUCUAGAGGAAGUUGGGAUCCCCGAGCCAAGUGGCAGCAAUGGCUGCAAGUUGGUGUUGACAACCCGUUCGGAGCAUGUCUGUAAGUAUAUGGGUUGUAAGGUGAUAAAAGUGACGCCACUUUCAGAAGAAGAGGCAUUGAUACUAUUCUUGAAUAAAGUUGGACCUAACAUAGUUCAAAGUCCAACAAUAAUGCCCACUUUGAAGCUUGUUGUCAAGGAAUGUGCGGGUCUACCUCUUACAAUUGUCGUGGUAGCUGGUACCUUGAAAGGAGAAGAUAACCCUCUUAUUUGGAAAAAUGCACUCGGGGAAUUAAAAGAGAGAAUAGGGAAAGUUGAAGGAGUGGAAGCUGAGGUAAUCGAGCGCUUGAAAUUUAGCUUCGAUCACUUAAAGGACGAGAAAGUGAAAUAUUGUUUCUUACAUUGCGCAUUAUAUCCCGAAGAUUUUGAAAUUGAAAAUGAUGAACUAAUUGAGUGCUGGAUUGACGAGGGAUUCAUAGAUGAUAUGGGUACAAGACAAGAAAUGAAAGACAAGGGCCAUGUUAUUUUGAAGAAGUUAGGAGAUAACUGCUUGUUGGAAAAUAUUACUAAUCAUAUAUUUGGUCAACCUCGCAUAAAGAUGCAUGAUGCAGUGAGAGACAUGGCACUGUCGAUCACAAGUAUGGAUCCUCGAUAUAUAGUACAAGCAGGCUUGCAAUUAAAAGAAUUACCGAAAAGGGGGCAAUGGAGUCCAGAUAUUGAGAAAGUGUCGCUUAUGCAUAACUCCAUAACGGAAUUUCCCGCAGAUGUGCUGCCCACAAAAUGUCAACUGCUCACAACCUUGUUAUUGCAGAACAACCCUAUAAAGAAGAUCUCAAUUUCUUUCUUCACCAACAUGCCUUGUCUUAGUGUUCUCAAUUUGUCUUUUACAAAGAUCGAGAGUUUACCAAAUUCCAUCUCUGAACUAAAGAACCUCACAACAUUGUUGCUUUGUGGUUGUAAUGAAUUAAGAGAUCUACCAUGUCUUUCGAUGCUUCAAGAAUUGAAGAAGUUGGAUCUUUAUAGGACUAAAAUUGAGGAAGUCCCUGAAGGAAUGGAUAUGCUGAUAAAGCUAAGAUAUCUUGAUCUUAGUGUGCGCACUCUGAAAGAGAUACCCGUUGGACUUUUACCAAAACUCGUUCACCUUCAGCACUUGAGUUUUGCUGUGAACAAUGAAAAAAUAAGUCUAAAAGCAGAGGAGAUGGAACCAUUGAAGAAGUUGGAGUGGUUUACCGGACGUUUCGAAGACAUGAAUGAAUUGAAUAAGUUCAUCUCCUCAAUGCAACAAAGUAAGAAAAAUCUCAUCAAGUACCAUUUACAUGUGGGCUUAUAUUUUAUGCCUACUGCAAGAGAUAAAACAGUAACAAUUGAAGGAGUCCAGAAUUGGGAAGGUGAGUUAAUUAUGCACCCAAUUGAAAUUCAAGGGUUGAAUAUUGUAAAGUGCGACUAUUUGAGAAACUUAGUCGAUGGUAAUUCUUCCUUCAAAAAUGCGAUGGACUUGAGGAUUUAUGCUUGUAAAGGGAUAGAGUGUGUUGUUCCCUUGUCCUCUUUUGCCUCUUCUUCCGCUCAUCCAUUUCAGAGCCUCGAGGUGUUAGAUCUUCGAGAUCUGCCAAAGUUGAGUGCCCUUAUUAUGAAAGAUACAGGAAUUGGUGCAGCAACAACAUCAACAUUGGCUCCGUCUACCACCUUUUCCCAUCUUGAGCAAAUUUAUGUACGGAGAUGCUCAAGUAUGAAGACGUUGCUUCCACAUUGGCUGCUUCCAAACCUCCAAAACCUGGAAGAAAUUUGGGUGUCAGAAUGUGAUGAGAUAGUAGAAAUAUUGGGAGCAGCAACAUCAGAAGUUGAAGAAAAAGGGAGUGAUGCAUUAAUCAAAUUCCAUCUUCCCAAAUUGAGAGAAUUGAGUCUAAGUAACUUACCAAAUUUGAAGAGCAUUUGCAGCAAAAGUGGAGUGAUGGUUUGUGAUUCUCUCCAACUUAUCCGUAUUACUAGAUGUGAUAAACUGAAGAGAAUUCCUCCAUUUGUUCCCCUUGUUGGCAAUGGGCAGCCAUUUGCAUAUGCUCCACCUUCUCUUACCAUCAGGUCAAGCACAGAAUGGUGGGAAUCGUUGGAGUGGGAUGACCAUCCAAACUAUAAAAAUGUUCUUCAACCCCUUUGGAAGGAUAAAAGGUAUAUUUUGUGAUGAUGUUGAAGAGAAAGAUAAAAGUGGGGGUGGGAAAGGAGGGGGAAGGAUAGUGCAAAAGAGAGGAGAAAAGGAAUGAUGGAAGGAAGAGGUUAAGAGCAUAAAUAAGAAAUCAAACUGCCUCCAUUUUUUAAACAUUUUCCCUCUCUUACCAUUCCUUCUAUUCUCUUUUUCUUCUUUUAUUCUUAUCUAAUUUUAUAAUGUUCUAAAAUUUUUAAUAUUAUCAAGAUCAAACUGAUUGAGAGUAUAAAAUUGAGGACUAAAAUUUUAAUUUUGAUCAAAACAAAAAUUUUCUAUAAUUUAGUGACUAAUGUAACUUUUUUUGGUUCAAUGAUAAUUGAAACUCCAUCUAUUUCUAAAUAAGGUAAACACUCGACCAAUAAACCACAACUUAGUCAAAAACAUAGCUGACCUAAGAAAUUAUAUAUAUUUAUUUUAACUUGAAUAGAUUUAUUUAUAUAUAUAAAAAACUGAAUAUAUUCAUUCACAUCUUACAAAUUUGAGAGCAGAUCAAAGGUUUUAUUACCAACUGAUAGAUACAACUGUUGAGAAAAUUCAGUAUCAAAUACCGUAGCUGUACCCAAAAUGCCAACUAAUAAUGGCAGACACCAAAGAGAAGAGCUAAAAGAAAAAAGAUGGGAUUUCUUACUAAUAAUUUUGCCUUUUUUUUAUCUUCACUUCUUCUUCUUCUCCUUUUUUUGACUAUUGUACCCACAACGUUCUUUCUUCUUCACUGUUUUUAAUUUCUUUUAAUGUCCAAGGUCUAUCACUAAUUUUCAAGCAUCCAAUCAAGGUAAUUUUCUUUCAUUUGCUUAAUCCAUGACAUGCUUUUCAUUGCUUAAUUCAUGACUAUGCAAUGAUUGUUUUUUGUUAUCUGCUUCAGUUAUAGCAGCUUGCUUUGUAAGAUAGUUAAGGGAGUGAACUUCACUGCUUCAUUUUCAGUUCUAAUCUCUCAACACUUUUCAGCCAGUUGGUCAGGGACAUAGCAAUUGUUGAGUAUUGGCCUGCAAUGCAACAAACUUCCAGCAGCAGUAAUGCUUACAUGUCUGUUUGAAGAUUGAACCAGAAGCAACUUUCUUUUGUUUAAAUUUUAUAUUUUUGUGAUGUUAACAAGUUGGCAAGUUGCUUGAUAUUUAAAGCUAGUACUUUUAGAUUUGAAAUUGAUGGAUGUAACAGCUGAAUUUUUUCAGCUUUUCUUUUGUAAUAUUUUAGUUGGCAACUUGCCAAAUUUGGUACGAGCAGUUACAGUUUAGGUAACUUACUUAUUAUUAUUAUUAUUUUUGUAACCCCUUUAUAUUUUGAAAUGGAAAUGAAAGCUGUGACUUUUUCUCAUUCGGUUACUUGCUGCUUCUCUUUGGAUUUUCAUUUUGUUCUUUUUGUUUUGUUUUGCUGUUAAUGAGCUUUAGUCUUGGCUGUUUGAAUUUUGCUUAGUUGCUGCUGUUUUUUUUCUAACAGCAAUGGAGUACGUAGAGCCUGUUCUUGGCAUUGCAAAAUGUUUUGGACCUCCUGUUUGUAAAUACUUGAAAUAUCACAGAAAGCUGAAUGAUUAUGUGAGAAACUUCAAGAGGAUCAAAGAUGAAUUGAAUUGCAAAAUGGAAGAUAUAGAGCUGCAAUUGAAAACAGAACUUCUUUGCCCUCUGGGGGAGAUACCGAAGCAGGGAGUUGAAAAUUGGUUGACAGAUGUGAAAGAGACGAUUAGUGAAGCACAAGUUGUUGAAAACAAAGUCAGUAACGGGAGAUAUCUCUGUCGUGCUUGCAACGGGAAGCUGGUUGACGAAAAGACUUGGGAAAUGAAGGAAUUUCUUGAUAAAGCUCCUAAUGCCUCUGAAGGUCUUGCCAUGGAUGGUCCAAGUGGUGGGUUGCCACUGCCAACAUCAGAACUAGUUGGAGAGGAAGCUGUCAGAAAUGAGAUUUGGGCAUGUUUGAUGCAGGAGGAGGUGAGCAAGAUUGGGGUUUGGGGGAUGGGCGGUGUGGGUAAAACCACUAUCAUGAAGCACAUCCACAAUGAUCUUUUGAAACAACAAAGGUUCGAAAGGGUAAUCUGGGUUACCAUAUCAAAGGAGUUCAAUGUAAUGAAGGUACAAGAUGAUAUUGCAAGUGCAUUGCAGUCGAAGGAAUAUUUAGCCACAGAAGGAGACAAGCUCAGACGAGCAGCAAUCUUGUCAGAAAUGCUGAAGAAAGCAGGAAAGCAUGGGCUAAUCCUAGAUGAUGUGUGGGAUAAAGUCUCUGUUGAAAAUUGGCCAACCAUGCUACUGUUAUAUUUUUAGUUAAGUGCAUGCAGCUUGUAAACAUGCUGCAGCACGUAUGUUUGCUGUAACAGCAAGGUUGUUUAGUUACUUCGUUAAGCUACUUUAGUUGAAAAUGAGCAGAAUGAGUUAUCAGCCAUAAAUUCCCUUGCAACACAUUUGUGAGCAAGUAAAAAUAUUUCUUGCA